AACGCACAUUGCGCCCUGUGGUAUUCCGCAGGGCAUGCCUGUUCGAGCGUCAGUACAACACUCAAGCUCAGCUUGGUCUUGAGCCCAGCUGGUCACGGCGGGUUUUAAAAUCAGUGGCGGCGCCUCCAGGCUCUAAGCGUAGUAAUACUCCUCGCUAUUGAGUCCUGGUGGACGCUGGCCAUCAACCCCAACUCUCUAAGUUUGACCUCGGAUCAGGUAGGGAUACCCGCUGAACUUAA
rnacentral:misc_RNA from 1 species